CUGUAGAUGGCAGUCCCGUUCAGAAUCCCCAAAAAGAAGCAGCCGUCAGAUUCAUGUCUUGACAUGCAGUCUCCACUGUCUCGACUGCAGGACAGCAACUCACACAAGAGGCAGUGGGGUUCAGUAACUCUUAAUGGAAGAACGCCUCAUAAAAGCAGUCCUAAUGGAAAUGUGCUGCCAAAAGACACUCAGAGGAGUGAAACGGUGAGGUAAGACUUCAGUAUACCAUGCUUUGGAUACUGAUCAGUUUUAAAAUGAACAAACAACCGAUAAAAAUCUGCCCUGUUCAGGGGAACAGGACACCCAAUAAGGUGUCCGAGACGCCUGGUUUCAGAGCCCAGUGUCAAACUCCCACCGCAGGGAGAGACUUCACAGGAAACAACAGAUGGAGACCCAAAAGAGCAUCGGAUACUCUUCUCUGCCAUGAUGAGAACCAUACGGGCGCGUCUGAAAGCUCUUCUUUCAAGAUCCGUAGAGGCCUGGAUCCGGGAGAACUGGAGACAUGUGGGCUUUUCCAUGAGAAAGAAGAAACAGAAGGGACACAAGGUCACUCUCAGGUGAAAGAGGCACAGAGGUCAUCCACUUCAGAGGACACGGCACACGUUUCACAGGAAGACCGCAAAUUAAAGUCCACAGGUUCUGUUGGUGAUGUCUCUAAGAACACUGCAAGCAAAAACAAGAAUGGAACUGUAUUGAAUGAACAAUCUGUUUCCAAACUGUCCAAUCAUGAGCCCAGUCUCCGCUCAGGACGCUCUCUUCAGGAAGCUCCAGCUAGGCAUCUGAGGACCUCUGGAGAAAGAGCUGCCACCUCUGUGCCUGUUAGAAAAGACCCACUCACUUCACCCCCAGAGGCCAAGAGCAAAGACCCUUUUGGGUCAUUUUACAGCAAUAGAUUGAGGAGGAAGCCCCCGGUUUUCUACAAAACCUACAAGAGAUCCAAGCCUAGCUCCACAGAGCCAAUCGUGCUGUCCAGCGAUGAUGAAGGAGCCGAUGAGAUGAAUGAAGUAUCUGGGAGUUUGCAAGAGCAGCGGAUAUCUGAGGGGGUCGGGAACGCUCAGUCAGGGAACCAAAAGAGCCCAAAGACAAAUGCAGGAGGUGAAAGAUCAGCGACCAAAGUAGAUGUGCCUUCCAUCAUAGAACUGGACUUCAGCAGACUCCAUUACGACACAAUCGAGGCGCAGGCCAACGGGACCAUUGUGGUGAGAGAAACUUAUGCUGAAAAUGUGAUUUAUAGUUGUAUUAAAUUAUAAAAGUG
rnacentral:lncRNA from 1 species